CAGCCGCCGCGGUAAUACGAAGGGGGCUAGCGUUGUUCGGAUUUACUGGGCGUAAAGGGCGCGUAGGCGGACUGAUAAGUCAGGGGUGAAAUCCCAAGGCUCAACCUUGGAACUGCCUUUGAUACUGUUUGUCUUGAGUUCGAGAGAGGUAAGUGGAACUGCGAGUGUAGAGGUGAAAUUCGUAGAUAUUCGCAAGAACACCAGUGGCGAAGGCGGCUUACUGGCUCGAUACUGACGCUGAGGCGCGAAAGCGUGGGGAGCAAACAGGAUUAGAUACCCCCGUAGUCCCUGUCUCUUAUAC
rnacentral:rRNA from 1 species